GAUGCCAUCUGGGGGUGCUUCUAAAAGCCUCCAUAGAUAAGAAUGCUAAAGAAUUGAAAGUCCCUGCCUAUUUUAAGGCAAGUUGCUUGGGAGAGGUCUUGUGGUCUUUGCUCUUUGACCUGAGGCAGCAUCAUCUGGGUGGCUUUGAGCUACCCCACCACUUGGUUUGGAGUCACCCCCUCCCCCAUCAAGCUCUCUCCCUUGCUCUUGGCUUUGAAGAACCUUUACAGAAGAAGCUGCAGAGACAGGACUUCAAGUGGAUCAAGGGACGAAAGUCAUCGCUGAGACUUUCCAUGAGAAAUCCACAGUUUUAGAUGGUAUCUGCAAAUGAAAGGACUGUGACCAGUUAGAAUUCGAUCAUGUGGGCUCUGCUACGAUGAUGCUCUGUGUGCUGAGACCUAAUCCAGUUUAUACUCUGAACACGCAUGGAAAGCGCUAAGGACCCCCAGACAGUCUCACACACAGGCAAGUCUGAGACGCAGAAGAGGUCUUCACAAGCCCGGACCUGGAAGAAGAUAACCCAGCAUGCCCAUGUUUUAUUUCAAACCAUCUGGUGUCACAGGCCUGGUAGAACUUCUGCAUUUCAUUUUUGGCACUCUUGCUUUUAUUUGGU